GUCUACGGCCAUGCUACCCCGAACAAGCCCGAUCCUGUCUGAUCUUAGGAAGCUAAGCAGGGUCGGACCUGGUUAGUACUUGGAUGGGAGACCACCUAGGAAGACCAAGUGCUGUAGGCG
rnacentral:rRNA from 1 species